rnacentral:rRNA from 1 species
CCUGUCCGUACCGUAAACCAACUCAGGUGGGCGGGAAGAAUAUUCCAAGGCGCUUGAGAGAACCCAUCCUAAGGAACUCGGCAAAAUUCUACCGUAACUUCGGGAGAAGGUAGGCCGGCAAUCGUGAUGAGCUUCGCGCUCUAAGCGUUUGUUGGUUGCAGAGAAUCGGGGGUAGCGACUGUUUACCAAAAACACAGGACUCUGCGAAGUCGGAAGACGACGUAUAGGGUCUGAUGCCUGCCCGGUGCUGGAAGGUUAAGGGGAGAUGUCAGUCGCAAGACAAAGCAUCGAACCGAAGCCCCAGUAAACGGCGGCCGUAACGAUAACGGUCCUAAGGUAGCGAAAUUCCUUGUCGGUAAGUUCCGACCUGCACGAAUGGCAUAACGACUUCCCCACUGUCUCGGGAUGGGACUCAGUGAAGUAGCACUAGGGGUGAAGAUACCCUUUACCUGCGGCAAGACGGAAAGACCCCAAACCUCCACUGUAACUUGGCACUGAACUUCGGGCUUAAUUGCGUAGGAUAGGUGGGAGGCUUUGAACCGGGGAUUUUGGUUUCCGGGGAGCCAACGUUGAAAUACCACCCUGUUCAGUCUGGAGUUUUAACCUUCGCCCGUUAACCGGGCGGGGAACAAUGCCUGGUGGGCAGUUUGACUGGGGCGGUCGCCUCCAAAAAAGUAACGGAGGCGCGCGAAGGUCCCCUCAGGCUGAUUGGAAACCAGCCGUUGAGUGUAAUGGCACAAGGGGGCUUGACUGCGAGACAAACAAGUCGAGCAGAUACGAAAGUAGGUCAUAGUGAUCCGGUGGUACCUCAUGGAAGGGCCAUCGCUCAUCGGAUAAAAGGUACUCUGGGAUAACAGGCUGAUCACGCCCAAGAGUUCACAUCGACGGCGUGGUUUGGCACCUCGAUGUCGGCUCAUCGCAUCCUGGGGCUGAAGUAGGUCCCAAGGGUUUGGCUGUUCGCCAAUUAAAGCGGUACGCGAGCUGGGUUCAGAACGUCGUGAGACAGUUCGGUCCCUAUCUGCCGUGGGCCAGGAGUUUUGCGAGGACCUGCCCGUAGUACGAGAGGACCCGGGUGGACGGACCGCUGGUGUUCCGGUUGUCAUGCCAAUGGCAUCGCCGGGUAGCUAUGUCCGGAACAGAUAACCGCUGAAAGCAUCUAAGCGGGAAGCUGACCUCCAGAUUAGAACUCCCAGAGCGCAAGCUCUCUGAAGGACCCUUGUAGACUACGAGGUUGAUAGGCCGGGUGUGGAAGCGCUGUGAGGCGCGUAGCUAACCGGUACUAAUCGUCCGUGAGGCUUGACCGC